GUUAGUGGUAGUGGUACACCUUUGAAAAUGCCAUAUGGUGGUCAGAUGAAUCAACCUAUUAGAAGAAAUAAUAAUAUGUUUUCAUAUUAUAAUAAUACAACAAUUGGUGGUACUAAUACAAGUUCUAAUGGAUCUAAUACUGCUUCAACUUCUAGUGGUAACGUUGUGAGUGGUGCAGGUACUACAUCUACACAAGCAUCUACAAAUAAUACAAAUACCACUAAUAAUACUGCGACUACAGCAGCUACAAAUACAAGUUCUACCAAUGCAAAUCAGAUAAAUGACAAUAUUUUUGAUUCGAAUGUAAAUAGUAGUACUAAUAAUGUGAUGAACUCUACAACUAUAAAUAGCAGUAAUAAUAAUAAUAAUAAUAGUAGUGGUAGUGGUAAUAAUACUAUAAAAAAUAAUAAUAUGAAUGUUAUGUUGAAAUCUAAUUUGAAUUAUUCAUAUAGUGGUGGUGCUGGUGCUGGUACUGGUACUGGUGGUAGUGGUUAUCACCAUGGCGGUUUAAAUGGUCCAGGUCCUCAUAAUGCAACAAACGGUAUUGUUAUGUUAGUACCUGAUAUUAAUUUGAAUAAUCAAAAUAAUAGCAACAGUAAUAGUAAUAAUAUGAAUAUAACAGGUGCUAGUAACACUAGUAGUAAUACGGCCACAACUAUUGGAAGUGCAAAUAAUAUAAACAGUGGAUUGAACAGUGGAUUGAACAGUGGCUUGAACAGUGGCUUGAACAGUGGCUUGAACAGUGGCUUGAACAGUGGCAUACACAUGAAUGCAGCAUUAGGAACAAACAUGGCAUUAAACAAUAGUGGAAAUUUAUUUUGUUUAAAUAAUUCUUUACAUUUGAAUAAUACAGGAGGUAGUGGUGCUGGUAGUGGUAUGGUUGGUGCAGGAGGAGUCUCACACCAUCAUCAUCCAAUGGGUAAUAUCAUGACUAAUAGUCCUAUGAAUGGUCCUAUAAAUGGUCCUAUAAAUGGUCCUAUGAACAAUAACUUACACAUGAAUGGUGGAAUACAUAUGAAUCAAGGUAUUCUUAUAAAUAAUAAUACUAAUAACAGUUUGAAUCAUAUGCCUAGAAUGAAUCAAAUGAGUGGUAUGCAUAAUGUACCUAUGGUUGGAGGAAAACAUCAUAAAAGAAAUAAUUCUUAUAAUGAUAGAAAUAAUAAUAUGUUUAAUCAUAACAAACAAUAUAACAAUUAUAGGGAUCAUAAAAAUAAUAAUAACAACAGUAGUAGUAGUAAUGUAGGUAUGAAAGGAAAUAAUACAUUAAAUUUGAAUUUUAAUAAUAGUGGUAAUGGUUUAUAUAAUAACGUUAAUAAUUAUAAUUCUAAAUAUCAUGACAAUAAUAGUAGUAACGUAAAUUCGAGUUCGAAAGUAGGACAUCACCAUGAUGACAAGAAGCAUAACCGAUAUAAUUCGUUGAACAAUAAUAUGAACAAUAGUAUGAAUAACAAUAUGAACAAUAGUAUGAAUAACAAUAUGAACAAUAAUAUGAACAAUAAU
ensembl:lncRNA